CGGGUGAAGGUGGCGGACGGGUGAGUAACGCGUAAAGAACUUGCCUUACAGACUGGGACAACAUUUGGAAACGAAUGCUAAUACCGGAUAUUAUGAUUGGGUCGCAUGAUCUGGUUAUGAAAGCUAUAUGCGCUGUGAGAGAGCUUUGCGUCCCAUUAGUUAGUUGGUGAGGUAACGGCUCACCAAGACGAUGAUGGGUAGCCGGCCUGAGAGGGUGAACGGCCACAAGGGGACUGAGACACGGCCCUUACUCCUACGGGAGGCAGCAGUGGGGAAUAUUGGACAAUGGACCAAAAGUCUGAUCCAGCAAUUCUGUGUGCACGAAGAAGUUUUUCGGAAUGUGAAGUGCUUUCAGUUGGGAAGAAGUCAGUGACGGUACCAACAGAAGAAGCGACGGCUAAAUACGUGCCAGCAGCCGCGGUAAUACGUAUGUCGCAAGCGUUAUCCGGAUUUAUUGGGCGUAAAGCGCGUCUAGGCGGCUUAGUAAGUCUGAUGUGAAAAUGCGGGGCUCAACCCCGUAUUGCGUUGGAAACUGCUAAACUAGAGUACUGGAGAGGUAGGCGGAACUACAAGUGUAGAGGCGAAAUUCGUAGAUAUUUGUAGGAAUGCCGAUGGGGAAGCCAGCCU
rnacentral:rRNA from 1 species